rnacentral:rRNA from 1 species
CGGGCGGACGGGUGAGUAACGCGUGGGUAACCUGCCUUAUACAGGGGGAUAACAGUUAGAAAUGACUGCUAAUACCGCAUAAGCGCACAGUACUGCAUGGUACAGUGUGAAAAACUCCGGUGGUAUAAGAUGGACCCGCGUCUGAUUAGCCAGUUGGCGGGGUAACGGCCCACAAAGCGACGAUCAGUAGCCGACCUGAGAGGGUGACCGGCCACAUUGGGACUGAGACACGGCCCAAACUCCUACGGAAGGCAGCAG